rnacentral:rRNA from 1 species
UACGAACCGUGCGAACGUUGUUCGGAAUCACUGGGCUUAAAGGGCGCGUAGGCGGGCUGCCAAGUCCGUAGGUGAAAUCCCCCGGCUCAACCGGGGAACGGCCUCGGAUACUGGCGGCCUGGAGGGGGGUAGGGGCGUGCGGAACUGUGGGUGGAGCGGUGAAAUGCGUUGAGAUCCACAGGAACUCCGGUGGCGAAGGCGGCACGCUGGACCCUUUCUGACGCUGAGGCGCGAAAGCCAGGGGAGCGAACGGG